GACAGAGGGUGCAAACGUUGUUCGGAAUUACUGGGCGUAAAGCGCGUGUAGGCGGCCAUGCAAGUCGGAUGUGAAAGCCCUCGGCUCAACCGGGGAAGUGCACUCGAAACUGCAAGGCUAGAGUCUCGGAGAGGAUCGUGGAAUUCUCGGUGUAGAGGUGAAAUUCGUAGAUAUCGAGAGGAACACCGGUGGCGAAGGCGGCGAUCUGGACGAUGACUGACGCUGAGACGCGAAAGCGUGGGGAGCAAACAGGUAGAAACCC
rnacentral:rRNA from 1 species